rnacentral:tRNA from 1 species
CCCGCGAUUGGCGCGCGGCAGCAGGCCGUAGUGAAUCGUGAGUUCAUCCGAGAGGAUGUGGCCUCCGCGCGCCGCUUUGAUCGGAUCGAGGUCGCCGAU